CUUUUGUAGCGUGUUGUGAUUAUAGUUCGAACUUUGUUUUUCAGCCUGACAUUCUUCACAGUCAACAUGAAAGUGAAACAGGAGAAAUUUCAGGAGAUAUAAAAGAAAAAUCUACACCUCAAAACAGCAAGGAUAGAGUCAUCUGUGAGCUAAGAGCAGAGCUAGAGAGAAUACAGGCUGAAAAUACAUUGGAAUGGGACAAGAGAGAGUUACUGGAAACUGAGAAACAAGGCCUGGAGAGAGAAAAUAGAAGGCUAAAGGUCCAGGUGAAAGAAAUGGAAGAGCUCCUGGACAGGAAAAGCAGCUUAAGUGAAAGCUUUCAGGGUCCUGAUUUCAAGACGUCCUACAGUGAACUACAGGAAAAGAACAAGGUAGGGAGCUCCGGGAAGCACCUAUUCCCUCACCCUGUGCGCCCCUCUGACACCUGGGCCCCUGCUGCCUUCACCAGUCCACGCUACGUGUUAACUUCCCAUUUGCCCUCUGAUAAAUGAUAGCGUG
rnacentral:lncRNA from 1 species